rnacentral:rRNA from 1 species
UAGGGAAUCUUCCACAAUGGACGCAAGUCUGAUGGAGCAACGCUGCGUGAGUGAAGAAGGUCUUCGGAUCGUAAAACUCUGUUGUUAGAGAAGAACACGAGUGAGAGUAACUGUUCAUUCGAUGACGGUAUCUAACCAGCAAGUCACGGCUAACUACGUGCCAA